rnacentral:lncRNA from 1 species
GAGGCAAUAGAAAACUGAGACUUGACUGCCUCUGGGUUUCGUAUCCCUGCUCCGAAAACCCCUCUUGUAAGCAUAACUGCGUCUCUUCGGACCUUCCUCCCUCUGCCCCUCUGGCAUGUGUUCUGGGCCCUGCAAAGGUUGCUCUUUACUGGGUUUUGUCAAGCCAACACAAAGUAAAUAUUUUCGGUUCCUUAAAGCUGGCGAGAGUAGGGGAGAGAUCAAGUGACAGCGCCUGGGAAUCAAUGCAGUCUCAUGCAACAGCAGGCUGGGUUCCGUGCAGGCUGGGAGCCUCGGAUUAGGAACACAUGGCCAGGGCUGGGUUGGUCCCUCCAGCGCCUCUCUUGACACAUGGGAGUUGAUGUGGAUCUAAGGAAGAAAUCAACAGCAAUAACAAAUCAAGCGUCAGGUGCUGUCAGGCCCGUGGAUUCUCCAAGUCUUGUAAAUAUCUCCCUCAGGCCAGAGAUGCCCUUAUUCCCAGACUUACCAAAUUGGAGGAUGGGUGGGAAAAGGUGCCCUGCCAAUCAGGAAGAGGAGCAAAAUCGCUCUGCUGGAGGAUCAUUAAAGAAAACAAAUCCUGGAGUGCUGAGCUCAAAUGUUUAAAAAAUCACACUUAGUGCAAAUAAAAACCUCAGAAAGUUGUGCCUGUUGUGGGUUUUCUCCCUUAGGAGAAUGCGAUUCUGGCAUCCAGUAGAAGAGCCAUCUGAAAUGAAGCCACACGGAGGCUCAGAGAGUCCCAUCCCUGUUCUCUGUCAGGGUGGGUGGCAGGAACUCUUCAUGAUAGAAAAAUAUCGAUCUCAUCCUUUCCAAAGCACGUUGCAGGAGUCAGGAAUGGGGAGACCACGAUGGAUUCCUGUCGCAAACAGAGAUUGUGGAAACAAAAUAUGUUUAAAUCUUAAGGUGUUUGUUCUAAGGUUGCAGACUGUCAGACCAUCCUGCAUUUGAAUCAUCCCCGGUCAUCUGUUUGAGAUCCAUUCUAUCUCCCUGAAGUCUUGCUCUACAAACCACUCAUCUUUUUCAAGCAAACGAUCUCUCUUCC